rnacentral:rRNA from 1 species
AGUAACACGUGGGUAACGUGCCUCGAUGACCGGGACAACCCGAGGAAACUCGGGCUAAUACCAAAUGUGCCCUCCGGCCAUAAGGCCGCUGGGGAAAGGAAGCUUCGGCCUCCGCAUCGGGAUGGGCCCGCGGCCCAUUAGCUUGUUGGUGAGGUAACGGCUCACCAAGGCGACGAUGGGUAGCUGGUCUGAGAGGACGAUCAGCCACACUGGGACUGAGACACGGCCCAG